UUGUUGGUGUAAUGUGGCAGUAUCGUAGCCAAUGAGGUUAAUCCGAGGCACGAUUAUUGCUAAUUGAAAACUUUGCCCUCUUAUUAUUGCAUUUUAAUUAAAACCAAUUUUGUAGUUGCUUAUACAA
rnacentral:snRNA from 1 species